CAUGUGAAAGNCACGGCUCACCGUGAGGAGCGUGGGAUACGCUCAGGCUAGACGGUGGAGAGGGUGGUGGAAUUCCCGGAGUAGCGGUGAAAUGCGCAGAUACCGGGAGGAACGCCGAUGGCGAAGGCAGCCACCUGGCUCACUUGUGACGCUGAGGCGCGAAAGCGUGGGGAGCAAACCGGAUUAGAUACCCGGGUAGUCCACGCCCUAAACGAUGCGCGCUAGGUCUCUGGGUUUGCUGGGGGCCGAAGCCAACGCGUUAAGCGCGCCGCCUGGGGAGUACGGCCGCAAGGCUGAAACUCAAAGGAAUUGACGGGGGCCCGCACAAGCGGUGGAGCAUGUGGUUUAAUUCGAAGCAACGCGAAGAACCUUACCAGGCCUUGACAUGCUAGGGAACCUGGGUGAAAGCCUGGGGUGCCCCGCGAGGGGAGCCCUAGCACAGGUGUUGCAUGGCCGUCGUCAGCUCGUGUCGUGAGAUGUUGGGUUAAGUCCCGCAACGAGCGCAACCCUUGCCGUUAGUUGCCAGCGGGUGAAGCCGGGCACUCUAACGGGACUGCCUGCGAAAGCAGGAGGAAGGCGGGGACGACGUCUGGUCAUCAUGGCCCUUACGGCCUGGGCGACACACGUGCUACAAUGCCCUCUACAGAGCGAGGCGACCUGGCGACGGGGAGCGAAUCGCAAAAAGGUGGGCGUAGUUCGGAUUGGGGUCUGCAACCCGACCCCAUGAAGCCGGAAUCGCUAGUAAUCGCGGAUCAGCCAUGCCGCGGUGAAUACGUUCCCGGGCCUUGUACACACCGCCCGUCACGCCAUGGGAGCGGGUUCUACCCGAAGUCGCCGGGAGCCUUAGGGCAGGCGCCGAGGGUAGGGCCCGUGACUGGGGCGAAGUCGUAACAAGGUAA
rnacentral:rRNA from 1 species